rnacentral:lncRNA from 1 species
ACAUUUACACACAUUUAUUAACCAACUAAGUGCAUUAUUGCCAAAAGUGACUGUUUAUUAUAAAUUACAUAUUUUCUGUAAUGGCCCUGUUUUUCUGUAAUGGCCCUGUUUUUUUCUGUAAUGGUCCUGUUUUUCUGUAAUGGCCCUGUUUUUCUGUAAUGGCCGUUUUUUUUGUAAUGGCCCUGUUUUUCUGUAAUGGACCUGUUUUUUCUGUAAUGGCCCUGUUUUUCUGUAAUGGCCCUGUAUUAAUGCCCAGUUUGUCUGUAUCGUUAGGGUUUUUAAUAAAGGUAAUAAAACUAAGUUGUAAAGAGUAUAAUACCUUUUUGUAUUUUAUUUAAUUUAGUAACCAGCAACCAACAUUAAAGAACCAUAUAUAUUAAAGGGAUCACUGUUCAUCCUGUUUUUUUAACACAGAUCUCUUUCAACUUAAUAUCUUGGAUAUUUGGUAUAUUUAAAGCUUUAUAAUGGUGAAGUACAAAUUAUUUUGUUCAAACUAAACUGUCAUUAAAAGAGUAAGACAGUACAUCAAGGUAGCAGCAACACAUACACUUUUGUUCAGUUGGUUAAUAAAUGUAUUAAGAAAUGGGUGUUUUUAUAAUGGCCCUGUUAUAUGUCCUCGGUCAGUAAUAAUGGCCUCAGAUGUCUGUAAUAGCCCUCGGCGUUGCCUCAGGCCAU